GACGAACGCUGGCGGCGUGCUUAACACAUGCAAGUCGAACGGAAAGGCCCUGCUUUUUUGGGGUGCUCGAGUGGCGAACGGGUGAGUAACCUGUGAAUCUCCCGCGUUUUUUUGGGGUAUAUCCUGAAAAAUGCGGGUAUAACCCCUUAUUGGCGCCGGUGCUAGUGGGGGGGGUUUGGACCUUUUGCGCGGGUGGGGGUGGACGCGCGUUUUACUAGUUUGUGGGUGGGAGAGUGGCUCACCCGGGGUUUGGUGGCUAGCCGGCGUGAGAGGGUGACCGGCCACAUGGGGACUGAGAGACGGCCCAGACUCCUACGGGAGGCAGCAGGGGGGAAUAUUGCACAAUGGGCGGAAGCCUGAUGCAGCAACGCCGCGUGCGGGAUGACGGCCUUCGGGUGGUAAACCGCUUUCGCCUGUGACGAAGCGUGAGUGACGGUAAUGGGUAAAGAAGCACCGGCUAACUACGUG
rnacentral:rRNA from 1 species